rnacentral:lncRNA from 1 species
CUAAAGUACGAAUUUGACCUCCAAUUUGUUUUUUAGGGUUAAUACAAAGAAAUAGGAGGUCAAUAAACAAAAGAGAUGUUAAUUAAUCAAAGAUCCAAAAGCGGAGGCAGUUCCAGUCCUUGUCGCAGUGCAGUAGUGAGUAGGUGAUCCAACACCAGAGAUAAAAGACGCAGCAGAUUCAUAUACUGACCUUAGUUAUAUAGAUCGUU